rnacentral:tRNA from 1 species
GGGGUUGUGGCUCAGUGGUAGAGCACUCGCCUAGCAUGUGCAAGGCCCUGGGUUCGAUCCUCAGCACCA